AUGAAAUAAUUCUCGUCAAAAAUGUGACAAACCACAACAAUCCUUGAUAUAGCUUUCAGUUAAGGCAAUUUCUGAUAUUCAUCAGGAAUAUCUUUAUCAGAGGGAGAACCCUGUAUAUGGUAGAUAAAUUUGAAUUCAUUUGUUUGGCAGACUUAUAAUUGAGAAUUUCUUCGGAUCUUUGAGCUGAGACUUUCAAUUCGUUUACUUCCGAUUCGACUUUCCAAAUUCUAGCAUCAGUAUCUGGUUAUUGGCUCUAAUAACGUUACUAAUGCACUCAAAUGUUCCAUUCAAAUAAACCAUAUUUUUUUUGAGAACAUUUUGACCAUGGCUAAGAUGAUUCAGAUCUUCUCUGAGGCUACUUUGACCAUCUUUAAGCUCUUGAAGCAUUUCGUAAGUUUGAAAUAUACUAUCUUUUUUACUUAUGCUUUCCCGAACUUCACAUGCAAGAAUUUCUAGGAUUUGCCAAUUGUUCUUUAAAUGCUUCAAAUUCGUCUUCUGGAAUGGCUACUUCUAAAUCAUACACGAAAUCGUGUAAUGCAACAUAAGGAUUGUCAGAUGGAAGAGGAACUCCAAAUUGAUUAGUAAAUAUGGCUUUAUCGAUCUUC